UUGAGUCUCCACCAGAAACUAUUUCUGAUGCCCCGCCUUUUUCCUCGGUAAAAUAUCAUUUCUCUACUCAUCUUAAUCAUAAUCUUUUUCUCUACUCAUUAUUUUUGUUUAUUUCUGUUUUCAGUCGAUUCCUGCUUCUCCAUCGGUCCCAGCUUCAGACAAAAGACCGAUUGAAGUUGUUCAAGUCACUCCUCCGCCGUCUUCC
rnacentral:lncRNA from 1 species